CAGCAGCCGCGGUAAUACCGAGGGUGCGAGCGUUAAUCGGAUUUACUGGGCGUAAAGCGUGCGUAGGCGGCUUUUUAAGUCGGAUGUGAAAUCCCUGAGCUUAACUUAGGAAUUGCAUUCGAUACUGGGAAGCUAGAGUAUGGGAGAGGAUGGUAGAAUUCCAGGUGUAGCGGUGAAAUGCGUAGAGAUCUGGAGGAAUACCGAUGGCGAAGGCAGCCAUCUGGCCUAAUACUGACGCUGAGGUACGAAAGCAUGGGGAGCAAACAGGAUUAGAUACCCCAGUAGUCCCUGUCUCUUAUAC
rnacentral:rRNA from 1 species